rnacentral:rRNA from 1 species
UACGGGAGGCAGCAGUGGGGAAUAUUGCACAAUGGGCGAAAGCCUGAUGCAGCUAUGCCGCGUGUAUGAAGAAGGCCUUAGGGUUGUAAAGUACUUUCAUCGGGGAGGAAAAACAAAACUAAUAAUUUUAUUUCUUGACGUUACCCGAAAAAGAAGCACCGGCUAACUCCGUGCCAGCAGCCGCGGUAAUACGGAGGGUGCUAGCGUUAAUCAGAAUUACUGGGCGUAAAGAGCACGUAGGUGGUUUUUUUAAGUCAGAUGUGAAAUCCCUGGGCUUAACCUAGGAACUGCAUUUUGAAACUGAAAUACUAGAGUAUCGUAGAGGGAGGUAGAAUUCUAGGUGUAGCGGUGAAAUGCGUAGAUAUCUGGAGGAAUACCUGUGGCGAAAGCGGCCUCCUAAACGAAUACUGACACUGAGGUGCGAAAGCGUGGGGAGCAAACAGGGAUAGAUACC